rnacentral:rRNA from 1 species
UACAGAGGGUGCAAGCGUUGUUCGGAAUUAUUGGGCGUAAAGGGCGUGUAGGCGGUUUGUUAAGUCUUCUGUGAAAUCUACGGGCUUAGCCUGUAACGUGCAGAGGAAACUGACAGGCUUGAGUGUCGGAGAGGAUAGGGGAAUUCCCGGUGUAGAGGUGAAAUUCGUAGAGAUCGGGAGGAACACCGGUGGCGAAGGCGCCUAUCUGGCUGACAACUGACGCUGAGACUCGAAAGCAUGGGGAGCAAACAGG